rnacentral:rRNA from 1 species
UACGAAGGGUGCAAGCGUUACUCGGAAUUACUGGGCGUAAAGCGUGCGUAGGCGGUUUGUUAAGUCCGUUGUGAAAGUCCUGGGCUCAACCUGGGAAUUGCAGUGGAUACUGGCGAGCUAGAGUGCGGUAGAGGAUGGUGGAAUUCCCGGUGUAGCGGUGAAAUGCGUAGAGAUCGGGAGGAACACCCGUGGCGAAGGCGGCCAUCUGGACCAGCACUGACGCUGAGGCACGAAAGCGUGGGGAGCAAACAGG